rnacentral:ncRNA from 19 species
UUAAACGCCGCGGUCGUCGGUGCCUCUCGCAAGGGAGGUGAAACGGGAAUGCGGUGCGGGACGAUGUCCCAAGGCCGCGGCUGCCCUCGCAACUGUAUGCGGAUCGAGACGUCCAACAUGCCACUGGCCGAUCGGCUGGGAAGGCGGACGAGGAGAUAUCCGCGAGCCAGGAGACCGGCCGGCGACGUCGAUCUUACG